rnacentral:rRNA from 1 species
UACGUAGGUGGCAAGCGUUGUCCGGAAUUAUUGGGCGUAAAGCGCGCGCAGGCGGUCCUUUAAGUCUGAUGUGAAAGCCCUCGGCUCAACCGAGGAGGGUCAUUGGAAACUGGAGGACUUGAGUGCAGAAGAGGAAAGUGGAAUUCCAAGUGUAGCGGUGAAAUGCGUAGAGAUUUGGAGGAACACCAGUGGCGAAGGCGACUUUCUGGUCUGUAACUGACACUGAGGCGCGAAAGCGUGGGGAGCAAACAGG